GACGAACGCUGGCGGCGUGCUUAACACAUGCAAGUCGAACGGAAAGGCCCUGCUUUUGUGGGGUGCUCGAGUGGCGAACGGGUGAGUAACACGUGAGUAACCUGCCCUUGACUUUGGGAUAACUUCAGGAAACUGGGGCUAAUACCGGAUAGGAGCUCCUGCUGCAUGGUGGGGGUUGGAAAGUUUCGGCGGUUGGGGAUGGACUCGCGGCUUAUCAGCUUGUUGGUGGGGUAGUGGCUUACCAAGGCUUUGACGGGUAGCCGGCCUGAGAGGGUGACUGGCCACAUUGGGACUGAGAUACGGCCCAGACUCCUACGGGAGGCAGCAGUGGGGAAUAUUGCACAAUGGGCGGAAGCCUGAUGCAGCAACGCCGCGUGCGGGAUGACGGCCUUCGGGUUGUAAACCGCUUUCGCCUGUGACGAAGCGUGAGUGACGGUAAUGGGUAAAUAAGCACCGGCUAACUACGUG
rnacentral:rRNA from 1 species